CAGCCGUAAACAAUGUGCGUUAGGUGUGUCGGUAACCACGUGUUACUGAUGCGCCGAAGAGAAAUCGUGAAACGCACCACCUGGGAAGUACGGUCGCAAGGCUGAAACUUAAAGGAAUUGGCGGGGGAGCACCACAACAGGUGGAGCCUGCGGUUUAAUUGGAUUCAACGCCGGACAUCUCACCGGAUAAGACAGCUGAAUGAUUGUCAAUCUGAAGGUUUACAUGACUAGCUGAGAGGAGGUGCAUGGCGUCAGUGACU
rnacentral:rRNA from 1 species